GUGCACAGUCGAGAAUCUUCCACAAUGGGGAAACCCUGAUGGAGCGACGCCGCGUGCGGGAUGAAGGCCCUAUGGGUUGUAAACCGCUGUUCAGUGGAAAGAACAUCCUCCGGCUGAAUAGGUCGGAGGCCUGACGUUACCACUGCAGAAAGUCCCGGCCAACUCCGUGCCAGCAGCCGCGGUAAUACGGGGGGACGAGCGUUGUCCGGAAUCAUUGGGCGUAAA
rnacentral:rRNA from 1 species